rnacentral:rRNA from 1 species
AACUAACGCUGGCGGCGUGCCUAACACAUGCAAGUCGUACGAGAAAGUCCGCUUCGGUGGAUCAGUAAAGUGGCGCACGGGUGAGUAACGCGUGGAUAAUCUACCCCUCAGUUGGGAAUAACGUACCGAAAGGUGCGCUAAUACCGAAUGACACUGCACAUCUUCUGUUGUGUAGUCAAAGAUGGCCUCUGCUUGCAAGCUUUCGCUGAAGGAUGAGUCCGCGUACCAUUAGCUAGUUGGCAGGGUAAUGGCCUACCAAGGCAACGAUGGUUAGCUGGUCUGAGAGGAUGAUCAGCCACACUGGAACUGAGACACGGUCCAGACUCCUACGGGAGGCUG